CUGGUAAAGUCUGACCUAAUGAAAACCCAGGAGGAGGAAGAGGAGUUGACAAGUAAUAAGACAACAUAACAGCAUCUCCUGUCCGGCUUCAUUUCCCCUCCUUAUCUAUCUCUUGCUGAGAAGGGGAAACACCAUUAUCAAAGUAAAAGAUAAAUAAUUAAAUUCAACUUAUUCAAAUAAGUUGGGACUAAGAUCUGAGAUCCACACUGUUGAUAAGGCCUUUUAACCUGGGAGAGUAAGAGGUGUGAAGUCUUAUACAGGCUUAUCAAAACAAAAACCAUUGCUUCACAUUCUAUUUAGGAUUUUGGGACUAACUUUAUCUAUUGUCCAAUUUUUAACAACUGAGAAAAAUCCCACCACAAAACUUCCUUUUAUUGUUGUCAUUUUUUCAUUGUUUUCACUCUUUGAGACUCAAAUACUUACUAGCUUUGUGACACUGUUACAAGUCCAGGUUCAGUUUCCUCAACCAUAAAAAAUGAGGACAAUAAUAAUACUUACCUUAGAAAGCUAUUGUGAGAACCAAAUAAGAUGUUUUUUUUAAAUAAAGUGUUUGGU